UACGUAGGGUACAAGCGUUGUCCGGAAUUAUUGGGCGUAAAGAGCUCGUAGGUGGUCUGUCACGUCUGCUGUGGAAACGCAAGGCUCAACCUUGCGCGUGCAGUGGGUACGGGCGGACUAGAGUGCAGUAGGGGAGUCUGGAAUUCCUGGUGUAGCGGUGAAAUGCGCAGAUAUCAGGAGGAACACCGGUGGCGAAGGCGGGACUCUGGGCUGUAACUGACGCUGAGGAGCGAAAGCAUGGGGAGCAAACAGG
rnacentral:rRNA from 1 species